GUCUUUUUGAUAAUAAUUUAAAGUCUCGCCUGCCCACUGAAUAUUAAAUGGCCGCGGUAUUUUGACCGUGCAAAGGUAGCAUAAUCAUUAGUUUUUUAAUUGAAAGCUGGAAUGAAUGGUUGGAUGAAAAAAAAUCUGUCUCAAGUUAAAUUUAUUAGAAUUUUAUUUUUAAGUUAAAAAGCUUAAAUAUUUUUAAAAGACGAGAAGACCCUAUAGAGUUUUAUAAAAUUAAUAAUAAAAUUUAUAAAGAAUAAAUUUUUUUUUAUUUUUAAUUUUAUUUAAUUGGGGUGAUUGAAAAAUUAAAUAAACUUUUUUUAUAUAAAAACAUAAAUUUAUGAAUAAAUGAUCCAUUAAUAAUGAUUAUAAGAAUAAAUUACCUUAGGGAUAACAGCGUAAUUUUUUCAGAGAGUUCUAAUCGACGAAAAAGAUUGCGACCUCGAUGUUGGAUUAAAAUUUAUAUUUGGUGAAGAAGCUAAAUUAUUAGGUCUGUUCGACCUUUAAAAUUUUACA
rnacentral:rRNA from 1 species